ensembl:lncRNA
UGGGAUUUGGGGGAAAAUAAUGGGAUUUGGGGGGAAACAGUGGGAUUUGGGGUCACAAACAGUGGGAUUUGGGGGGAAACAGUGGGAUUUGGGGGCAAACAGUGCGAUUUGGGGUCACAAACAGUGGGAUUUGGGGGAAAAUAAUGGGAUUUGGGGGAAAAGAGUGGGAUUUGGGGGGAAAACAGUGGGAUUUAGGGUCAAAAACAGUGGGAUUUGGGGUCAAAAACAGUGGGAUUUGGGGUGAAAAAGGGCCAUUUGGGGGAAAAGAGUGGGAUUUGGGGGAAAAGAGUGGGAUUUGGGGGUCAAACAGUGGGAUUUGGGGUGAAAAAGGGGCAUUUGGGGGAAAAGAGUGGGAUUUGGGGGAAUACAGUGGGAUUUGGGGGUCAAACAGUGGGAUCGGGGCUCUCAUGUGGGGAUCCGGGCUCAGAUAUGGGGUUUUGGGGUUCAGAUAUGGGGUUUUGGGGGAUCAGAUCAGGGUUUUGGGGUUCAGACAGGGGGUCUUGGGGUUCAGAUAUGGGGUAUUGGGCUUCAGAUAUGGGGUUUGGGGUUCAGAUAUGGGGUUUCUGGGAUCAGAUAUGGGGUUUUGGGGCUCAGAUACGGGGCUGUAGGUUCAGAUAUGGGGUUUGGGGGCUCAGAUCUGGGUUUUGGGGUUCAGAUAUGGGGUUUGGGGCUCAGAUAUGGGGUUCUGGGUUCAGAUAUGGGGUUCAGAUAUGGGGUUUUGGCGCUCAGAUACGGGGCUUUGGGAGUCAGAUAUGGGGUUUGGGGUUCAGAUAUGGGGUUUUGGGGUUCAGAUAUGGGGUUCUGGGUUCAGAUAUGGGGUUCAGAUAUGGGGUUUUGGGGCUCAGAUACGCGGCUCUAGGUUCAGAUAUGGGGUUUUGGGGUUCAGAUAUGGGGUUUCUGGGAUCAGAUCUGGGUUUUGGGGUUCAGAUAUGGGGUUUCUGGGAUCGGAUAUCGGUUUUGGGGUUCAGAUAUGGGGUUUGGGGGCUCAGAUAUGGGGUUUCUGGGAUCAGAUCUGGGUUUUGGGGUUCAGAUAUGGGGUUUCUGGGAUCAGAUCUGUGUUUUGGGGUUCAGAUAUGGGGUCUCUGGGAUCGGAUAUCGGUUUUGGGGUUCAGAUAUGGGGUCUCUGGGAUCGGAUAUCGGUUUUGGGGUUCAGAUAUGGGGUCUUGGGGUUCAGGUAUGGGUUUUGGGGUUCAGAUACGGGGCUCUAGGUUCAGAUCUGGGGUUUGGGGUUCAGAUAUGGGGUUUGGGGGCUCAGAUAUGGGGUUUCUGGGAUCAGAUCUGGGUUUUGGGGUUCAGACAUGGGGUCUUGGGGUUCAGGUAUGGGUUUUGGGGUUCAGAUACGGGGCUCUAGGUUCAGACCUGGGGUUUGGGGUUCAGAUAUGGGGUUUGGGGGCUCAGAUAUGGGGUCUCUGGGAUCAGAUAUCGGUUUUGGGGUUCAGAUAUGGGGUCUUGGGGUUCAGGUAUGGGUUUUGGGGUGCCCCCCCC